ACAGGUUAAGCUGACGAGUGGCGCACGGGUGAGUAAAAGAUAGCUAACAUCCCCUUUGGAUGGGAACAACAGAUAGAAAUGUCUGCUAAUACCCAAUACUCCGAGUAAUCGGGAAAUGGUUUUUCGCCAAAGGAUUGGGCUAUCACCUAUCAGUUAGUUGGCAGGGUAAAAGCCUACCAAGACUAUGACGGGUAACUGGUCUGAGAGGACAAUCAGUCACACUGGAACUGAGACACGGUCCAGACUCCUACGGGAGGCAGCAGUGGGGAAUAUUGCGCAAUGGGGGCAACCCUGACGCAGCAACGCCGCGUGGAGGAUGGAGCAUUUCGAUGUGUAAACUCCUUUUGAAAGGGAAGAAUUGACGGUACCUUUCGAAUAAGCACCGGCUAACUCUGUGCCAGCAGCCGCGGUAAUACAGAGGGUGCAAGCGUUACUCGGAAUCACUGGGCGUAAAGAACGCGUAGGCGGGAUUAUAAGUCUUGAGUGAAAUCCAAUAGCUCAACUAUUGAAUUGCUUGAGAAACUAUCUUCCUAGAAUCUGAAAGAGGUAAAUGGAAUUAGUAGUGUACGGGUAAAAUCCGUAGAUAUUACUAGGAAUACCAAAAGCGAAAGCAAUUUACUGGGUCAGUAUUGACGCUGUGGCGUGAAAGUGUGGGUAGCAAACAGGAUUAGAUACCCUGGUAGUCCACACCCUAAACUAUGAAUGCUAGUCGUCGGAAAGUUAUAUCUUUUCGUGAUGCAGUUAACAC
rnacentral:rRNA from 1 species